rnacentral:tRNA from 10 species
GUAAGUCAGAGAUGGAUCACACAGGACAAAAGGUAUGUGGAGUGUGAGGCCAAUAUACAGGUUCACUGAUGAGCAAAGCCUUUUUCCUACCCUGUGUUCCUUCACAUCGACUACAGUCUGUGGAUUAUUCACAUUUUAGGUAUUUAUUUGAAUUAUACCCUUCAGUAUUUUGAACCCUCACCCCCUCCCACCACUUCAAUCAUUCUUUUACUUCUUCUGUUCAUCUUAAUCUCCCUAAAACUUCAUUUUAAUGUUGUAGUCUACUUGAUCACUCCUUUAAUGUUCAACUAGCAUUUCUUUUAGGGUUUCUUAUAAACAAGGUGUACACACAUAAUAGUUUGCACAAAGUUAAAGAGGUAAAAAGAGGCCAUGGCAUGUGUGGGCAGUGAAAAGCCUGGUUAGAGUGCAGGGGCAAUAGGAGAGAACAGGGUGGAAGAUAGGCAGGGGCUGGGGCUGGUGACAGAGACCCAACAGAGCUGUACUAAGGCCAAAGAAAAUUCUGAAUUCAUAGUGUGCAAACAGGAGCUACAAUUGCACCUUAAUUUCAAUAAUAGAUAUAGUUCUGGAAAGAGAAAAGUGAAUUUCUAAAUUUCUUUCAAUUGAAUUUCAUAACAAAUAUGAGAGGCAUUUCUUUGGAGGAAAAAUUGGUUUUAACAUAUUGGAAAAUAAUGCUUAAAGUCUACCAAUGUCUGCUUAUCCUUUUCUUCUUUCAAGGCCCAGUUUCAUGUGAAUCUCCAAAUUUCCCCAGUAAUCUAUAUUCCUCUGAAAUUUCAUAGUAGUAGUUGGAUUCCAUCUUUGUAAUUAAAAAAUAAUAUAUAUGUACAGUUAUGAAAAAGUACCUGGGGUACCCCAAAGUAUGGUGCUUUGGAAUGCUGAGUACUGUGACCCAAAGCACAUUGGAAGACCUCAGAGCCAAGGUCUCUACCCUUCUGCCCUUCUGUCUCCUGCUCCCCUUUCACCCCCAAGGCAAAUCAUAGAAACUAGAAAUAUUACUCUAACCCUGCCUUUCUGUAUAGGAGCUGGCCAUAAAGAAAUUGUCUGACCUACCUUGUCUGACAGUAGGCUAUAAGGCCCUCAUUGCAGUGGGGUCCUAUCCUAGACCCAGGAGACAGGAAUGCUACGCAGAGAGGCCAAGAAGAAUCUGAACAGUCAGGCCUUGCUGAGUUUCCCUACUCAGUCUAUUAGCAUUAGAUCGUUUCCUUUUGGUCCGGUCAUAUUUCCACAUGGCAGCCCAUUCUUCAUUGAACCAAAGCAUAAAAAAUAGACAGUUUUCUCUGAGUCUUUGGGUCUUCAUUUCUGAAAGUUUCUGUGUCAUGUGAAACUUUGAUUAAGUAAGUCUGUAUGCUUUUCUCUUGUUAACCUGUCUUUUUUUGCAGGAGCACUGUCCCUGACCUUUAUGAUUGGUGAGAAAACGUGUAACACCUUUCUGCCCCCACAUGUCCAUAAUCUGUAAAUCAGACCAAGAGAAUAACCACGUUUGCUCAGGGUUUAUUUACUUUUCUGAGAGAAUAUACUAUUCAUUGACUAUGUUAUUUGUUGUUUAUUAAAGGCUUAGGCUAUAUGAAAUUAUAUGUUGUUAAUUUCUGAAUUUGUAUCCAGUUUUGAAGGAAAUGAUUUCUGUUCAGGAGAUAAGGGGUUGCUCACUGCAAUUAUCCAGUUUGAAGAAUGUGGAUUAAAUAAAUUAAGCUGAUAUCUUUACUUCAGGACGUCUCAGGACCUUUACUUUGCUAAAGUGAUGCUCCAAAGAGGAUGUAAGGAAUCUGAUGCAAAGAAGCACGAGGACCUUCAUUUUCACUCCAGUGGUUGUGGUGACUGUGGGCGCUGAACACUGACUAAGAGGAGAGAGCGCACAUUACAUGGAGACCAUGGUCCCCAUACCAGAAACAUGAGAGUAGAGAGAAGCAAAGCCAGCAUCGUGGAGCCAGUCCCUUUAUCCAGGAUCUUGGAGGGAUACAGUCUUCUGUAGAAAUUAAAUAAAGACUGAAUUCUUCAAUGGGUAUUUUGAGAAGAGAGCCACUGUAAGCUUAUACACUGUGAAUUGCAAAAUGUUACUGCCUCUGGGUGGACAGGUUUUAAAAAGACUUUUUUUUUUCCUCCUGGCAUGGCUGACAGAGGGAAGGCUGGGUUUCAAUCCCAUCUUUCCCUUCCCUUGCCCAGUGCUUCUUUAUGUGCACAACCUGCACAACUAUAUGUGGUUUGCAAACACGCAUAAGCAAAGACUAACAGCUUCUGAAACAAACUCUGAAUAAAAGAGGGAGCAUAUUAAGGCAGAUGGCAGAGGAGGUGAGCAGCAUGGGCAGAUAGAAGCAUCACAGAGACUACAAGAAGAAUGUGCCAGACCGGCUCAUAGUGGCCACACUGAUUAAGAAUUACCAUCAGCUCUUUAGGAUUUGGAAACUUGGAAACACAUUGUGUGUUCUUCCUGGUUUGUUAUAGAGUAUGUGUAUGUACUUCUUUCUCUUAAAAAUAUUUAUUUUUAAAGAAUUGACUUAUAAAAUUAUAUGUAUUUGUCAUGUAUAACACAAUAUUUUGAAGUACAGUCCUGUGUCAUAAGGAUAUGUUCUGAGAAAUCCAUCAAUUUUGUCAUUGUAUAAACAUGAUAGAGUGUAUUUACACAAACCUAGGUGGUAUAAACUACUACACACCUAGGCUACAUAAUGUAGCCUAUUGCUCCUAGGCUAUAAACCUGUAUAACAUGCUACUGUACUAAAUACUAUAGACAAUAGUCACAUACUGGUGAGUAUUUGCGUAUCAAAACAUAUCUAAAUAUAGAAAAGAUGCAGUAAAAAUAUGGUAUUACAAUCUUAUGAGACCACUAUAGUAUAUGAGGUCCAUCAUUGAUUAAAACAUAGUUAUAUGGUGCAUGACUGUAUAUAUGCAUUGUGGAAUGGUUAAAUCUAGCUAACUAACAAAUGUGUUAUAUCACAUAGUUAUUAUUUUUGAGGUGAGAAUACAAUAUUCACUCUCUUAGCAUUUUUUAAGAAUACAGUAUAUUAACUAUAGUCACCAUGCUGAAUGGUAGAUCUCUGGAACUAAUUUCUCCUAUCUAAGUGUGAUUAUGUACCCUUUGACCAACAUCUUUCUAACCCCACCCCACAAACACCCCAUAAUAAAGCCUCUUGUAACCACCAUUUUACUCCUUUUUCUAUGAGAAUGGCCUUCUUUGUCUCUCCUUUUGUCUGUCCUUACAGUUUUUUACUUAAUGUCUAUUUUGCCUGAUAUUAAUACAAGUAUACUUCCUCCUGCUCUCUUUUAGUUUCUACUUGCAUAGAAUAUCUUUUUCUGUUCCUUCAUUUUCAGUCUGUGUGUCCUUAUAGGUAAAGUGAGUCUCCUGUAGGCAGCAGAUAGUUGGGUUGGCUCUUUUUUUUUUUAAUCCAUCCCAGCCACUUUAUGUAUUUUGAUCAGAGACCUUUAUCCUUUUACAACCAAGGUAAUUAUUAGUAGAUAAGGACUUACUACUGACAUUUUGUUUAUUGCUUUCUCAUUGUUUGAUAGAUUGUUGUGUGUGGUUUUUAUUACAGGGUGUAUCUUGAGUCAUCUCAAUUAAUCUUGAUGCUCUUGGUUCCUACAUCGCUGUUAGCAUUGAGGAUGUUAGAGUGCAGAGUAUCAAAACCAGCAUUCAUCAGAAAGAAAGGAUGUUUACACAAACAUUAAGGCAUGGAAGAGAGUCAGUGGGGUGGGGAUGGGAAAGGAAAGAAUAUCCUAGGCUGAGAAAAUCACUGAAGCAAGAAAAUGGUGUAUAUGAGCAUGGGUUCUUUUAGAAACUAUCUUAACACCUGAUCAAAUGUGGGUGUUUCUGAGAAUGCUGAGCUGAUUAUGGCACAUUCUCUGUCCUGGAGAAGCUGGAAGCAUUUUUACAUCUACCCUAUUUGAUCCUCAUACAAAUUUUAUAAAUUAGAUAAGAAACAUCUUAAUAACUAAAAGUCACUGAAGAGGGAACCUUAAAAAAAGUACUUUAAAAAAGUACACAAGACUUAAGUUUACACAACUAACUCUAGGAAUGCUGGGACUGGAACCCAGCUGCCUGGCAAGUACCAUGGUGUUUUCAACCGGAUCAGAGAGGGGUGAGCUUUUUCCUGCUUCUUCCCCAGAGCAGUAAAUUAAAAAAAAAAAAAAGCGUUAUUGCUGUUAUUUUAUUAUGAUGAUUAUUACUAUUAUCAGAUAGUGAGGGGUGAAGGAAGAGAGUACAGCCAGAUUUCUUCAUUUCUCUCUACUAGUGGUAAUGUGUGUGGGGGCAUAAUAAACUCAAUUAAAGGAGUUCUGAGUAUUUGCAGAGCAAGUUUGUUCAUCUGUCUCAACUGCUUUAAAGAUUUUUUAUUUUAAUAAGAUAAAUAGUUAACUCAUCCUGCUAAAUGAAUUUUCUGCUAAUAACCAUAUACCUCUCCCACAACACUAAUCACAAAGUAUAUUUCUAAAGUGAUUCCAGCCCUGUUUGGGGAAUCAGUAUUAUUUACUCUUUUUCCUCUAGUCCCUAGCACAAUGUCUGGGCUAGAGGAUUCAUUUGAUCACUCAGGAAAUAUUCAUUGAGAACCUACUAUGUGGCAGUCACUAUUUUAGGUACUUAGGACAUAGCAGUGAAGAAAGUAGAUAUGAUUCUUUCUCUAAUGCAGCUUAUAUUUUGAUGGAAUAUUUUAGUAUUUCUAUAAAUAAAUAAAGAUAUGUGUUACAAAGAAAAUUAAAGAGAUGUGAUAAUGAUGAAAUGGGAUAAUUUGCUUGGGUGCCCAGGAAGGUUACUUUGAGGAAGUGACAUUGGAACUGAGACUCAAAUGUCAAGUUUUAAAUGUAGGAAAAAGCUUUGCAUGCCUGAAAAAUGGAAAGAUGAAUAUUAUGGCUUGAGGCUGAAGGGGCAAAGGAAGUGGUGUGGAGGUGAGUGGAAAGAUUCCAAGGUGGUCUUUUCACAGAGGAGGGUGAGGGAGCUAGGUAAUGUCAAAAGCUGACCCAUGUUGCUAGGCUGUCAAAAGUACCAGGCUACAAAGAUUCUCCAAAACUUAAUUAAAUUUAAAAAUAUUUGUGCUCCAAAGGACACCAUCAAGAAAGUAAAAAAAUAACCCACCAAAUGGGAGAAAAUAUUGGCAAAUCAUGUAUCUGAUAAGAGGCUUGUAUCCAGAAAUAUAAAGAACUCUUACAAUUCAAUGGAUAAAUAAACCAAUUUAAAAAAUGAGCAAAAGACUUGAAUAAAUGUUUCUUUAAAGAAGAGAUAUAAAUGGCCAAUUAACAAAUGUAAAGAUCCUCUUCAUCUUUAGUUAUCAGAAAAAUGCAAAUCAAAUCAUGAAAUACUCUCUCAAACCCACUAGAUGGCUAGAAUUUAAAAAGUCAGUAACAAGUUGUUGGCAAGGAUAUAUGGAAAACAAUCCUCAUACCCUUCUGGGAAUGUAAAUGGGAAUGUUAAAUGGUGCAGCUGCUUUAAAUGUCAAAUGGUCCAGCAAUUCUAUUUCUACAUAUAUAUACCCAAGAGAAAUGAAAGCAUAUGCCUCAACAAAAACUUGUACACAAAUGGCAUUAUUCAUAAUAGCCAAAGAUGGGAAUAACUCAAAUGACCAUCGACUGAUAAAUGAACAAACAAAAUGUGGCAUAUCCAUACAGUGGAACUGGCCAUAAAAGGAAUAAAAUGCUAAUACAUGCUAUAACAUGGAUGGACCUUGAAAACAUGAUGGUAAGUGAAAGAAGCCAGUCACAAAGGGCCACAUAUAUCAUUCCAUUCACAUCAAGUUUCCAGAACAGAGAAUUCUAUACAGUCAGAAAGUAAAUUAGUAGUUGCUUGGUGGUGGGGGAUGGGAAGACAGGGUAGUAGUUAAAGGGUACAGGAUUUCUUUUUGAGGUGAUGAACAUGUUCUAAAAUUUGCUGUGGAGAUGGUUGCAUAAAUCUGUAAACAUAUUAAAAGUCAUUAAAUUGUACACUUGAAAUGGGUGAACUGUAUGGUGUGUGAAAUAUAUCUUAAUAAAGCUAUUUUAAAAAAACACUAAAAAAGCUCCCAAAGCCUAAGGUACACUUUAUACUACUAAGAGAUUCAGGCUCUUCAGAUAAAAUUUACUACUUCCAGAUUAGAAUACUUCUGUGCCCAAGGGAGAAUCAUCAAUGAGGCUAUUCUUAGAACACAAAGCUUUCCUUCCUAAAAUACUGGAAAGGAGCAACACCUUGAACACCACAGGAAACCCAUAAAUAUCUAAUUUGCA